rnacentral:rRNA from 1 species
AUUGAACGCUGGCGGUAUGCUUAACACAUGCAAGUCGAACGGUAACAUGAGGGAGCUUGCUCUCUUGAUGACGAGUGGCGGACGGGUGAGUAAUACAUAGGAAUCUAUCCAGUAGUUGGGGAUAACGUGUGGAAACGCACGCUAAUACCGAAUACGCACUACGGUGGAAAGAGGGGGAUCUUCGGACCUCUCGCUAUCGGGUGAGCCUAUGCCGGAUUAGCUAGUUGGUGGGGUAAUGGCCUACCAAGGCGACGAUCCGUAGCUGGUCUGAGAGGACGAUCAGCCACACUGGGACUGAGACACGGCCCAG